CGUGUAGGCGGCUCAUCAAGUCUGGUGUGAAAUCGCAGGGCUUAACCCUGCAGAUGCGCUGGAAACUGGUGGGCUGGAGUUCUUGAGGGGAAGCUGGAAUUCCAGGUGUAGGGGUGAAAUCUGUAGAUAUCUGGAAGAACACCGGUGGCGAAGGCGAGCUUCUAUCAGAGGACUGACGCUGAGGCGCGAAAGCGUGGGGAGCAAACAGGAUUAGAUACCCUGGUAGUCCACGCUGUAAACGAUGUGCACUAGGCGUGGGGCCCGUACGGGUUCUGUGCCGUAGUUAACGUGUUAAGUGCACCGCCUGGGGAGUAUGCUCGCAAGGGUGAA
rnacentral:rRNA from 1 species